rnacentral:rRNA from 1 species
UACGUAGGGGGCAAGCGUUGUCCGGAAUUAUUGGGCGUAAAGAGCGCGUAGGCGGUCCGAUAAGUCGGCUGUGAAAGUCAAGGGCUCAACCCUUGAAAGCCGGCCGAUACUGUCGGACUAGAGUCCGGAAGAGGCGAGUGGAAUUCCCGGUGUAGCGGUGAAAUGCGCAGAUAUCGGGAGGAACACCAAUGGCGAAGGCAGCUCGCUGGGACGGUACUGACGCUGAGGCGCGAAAAGCGUGGGGGAGCAAACAGGG